rnacentral:rRNA from 1 species
AUGAGGUGUUGCGACCCUUCCCAAAAUAUGUGUUCGGUUUGGUCGGCUGCUCCCUGCAUCAGUCAUUGGAGGAGCGAGCUCCCCAACGGCGGCCACGCCGACGACCCGGCGCCACCACCCCCUGUCCCCCGCCCGGCAUCUGUACGGUGCCGAGGCCGCGAUGCAUGGAUCCGUCGGCGCGGGUCCCUGCUCGCAGCCGGUGGAGAGAGCGCGCGCAGCGGCGGAGUACUGCUCGUGACGGCCGGCCUCACAGCGAGGGUGACGGUGAGGCGAUGCUGGGUCGGCGUGGCUCCCCAUGGCCGCCGAGGGGACGAGCAUGCGGAGGUCCUCGACUACCUCAACGACGAUGAGGAGGUAGCGCCCGUAGAGGAGAGCCUUGUCGUCGGCAUGAUGGGAGGCCCAUGGUGGCUGAUGCUGGAGUGGGCAGAUCUGAACUCGGCUGAUGGAGCACGCCGCCAUCGGGGGAGACGACGAGCCCAGCAUUGGCGAGCUCGAUGGAGGAGCCGCGUCGAGAAAGGAAAGGUGGGAAAGGAGCUCGGAGGAGCCGCUCCGAGAUGCGGCGGCUGCUUGGCGGUGCCCGGAGCGACGCGACUGGCGCGCCGCGCACUGAUGCGGACGAGGCCGUCACGGCCUAGCUCGAGCGGCGCCCGGUCACAGGGCCGAGAUGCGGUGGCUGUUGGCGGCGCCGAGCGCGACGUGGACAUGCACAUCCCACACUGCCGCAAGCGCGCCGCCAUGGACCACGACCCUCCCAUCCAUCUUCAGGGUAACACUCCCUUCCUCCCUGUGUGCAUCGACCGAUGGAUCUCUGUUGUUGCUACUGGAAUCCUCAUUGUGCUUAGGAAUCUACAGCAGAGGUACCUAUCAAGCUUUGUUAGUCAGAGGGUACAAGGCGUGCAGUCUGGCGCCGCUUCUCUUUCUAAUAAAGGGAUUCAUAGGAGUGAUCCACAAAGAGUUUUACACAACUUCAUCAAAAUACUAAAUCGAGGAAUUUCAAAUGCAGCAAGGGAGGAAGUAAGUGUUCUUAGCACAGGCAUUGCGCCGGUGUAUGUAGUAGAGAAAGGCCUGCUGAAAAAGCAGCUUCUGCGUACUUGUGGAGGCCUUGUAUUUACUGGCUCUGCAAUCUAUGGCAUUAAGGCUUUGAUUGAUAGUUAUGUUAAGGAUAUGGCUGAAAAUCUCGAAAACACAGAAGUUGGUAAAUCUGGUGGUUUGAAUGAAGUGGCCAUGGAGAUAAGCACAAAAUUCAGUGACGUAAAGGGGGUUGAUGAAGCCAAGGCUGAGCUUGAGGACAUAGUUCACUACCUACGAGAUCCCAAGCAUUUCACACGCCUUGGUGGCAAGCUUCCAAAGGGUGUUUUGCUUAUGGGCCCGCCUGGCACAGGGAAGACCAUGUUGGCAAGGGCUGUGGCCGGGGAAGCCGGCGUCCCCUUUUUUCCGUGCAGCGGCAGUGAUUUUGAGGAGGUCUAUGUAGGUCUUGGGGCUAAGAGAGUGAGGGACCUCUUUCAUGCAGCAAAGCAGCUGUCUCCUUGCAUAAUUUUCAUCGAUGAAAUUGAUGGGAUUGGUGGGCGCAGACACGCAGGAGGUUCAAUGUCGCAGAGGCAGACCCUGAACCAGCUGCUUCUUGAGAUGGAUGGCUUCAAGCAGAAUGACGGGAUCAUCGUGGUCGCGGCGACCAACUUCCCCGAGUCAUUAGAUAGCGCCCUUGUCAGGCCUGGGCGUUUUGACCGUCAAGUCAAUGUCCCUAUUCCAGAUGUUGAGGGCCGACGACAGAUCCUUGAGGCUUACAUGUCAAAAGUGUCUACAGGCAAGGGUGUGGAUGCAAUGACCAUUGCGAGGGGAACGCCUGGGUUUUCAGGUGCAGACCUUGCAAGCCUAGUGAACGAUGCCGCUCUCAAGGCUUCCACGGAUGGGGCAAGUGCUGUUGGGACUGAUCACUUCGAGUACGUCAAGGACAAGAUCCUCAUGGGCAGCAAGCGCAAGUCGUUGGUGGUAUCUGAACAAUCCAGGAAGAAGACUGCGUACCACGAGGGUGGGCACGCCCUUGUUGCUAUCCUCACAGACGGUGCUGAACCUGUCCACAAGGUCACCAUUGCGCCCAGAGGAAAUACUCUCGGUAUGGUGGCGCAGCUGCUGGGGGAAGACAGUGAGCUGGAACUCUCCAAGAAGCAGUUGCUGGCGAUGCUGGAUGUGUGCAUGGGAGGGCGAGUGGCUGAGGAGCUUAUAUUUGGAGAGGCCGGGAUCACCACUGGUGUCUCAUCUGACCUAAGCAAGGCGACUCAAUUGGCGAAAGCCAUGGUCACCAGGGUAUGGUAUGAGCAACCGGGUCGGCUUUGUUUCGUACGGCAAUGA